rnacentral:rRNA from 1 species
UGCCAGACUCCUACGGGAGGCAGCAGUGGGGAAUAUUGCGCAAUGGGGGAAACCCUGACGCAGCAACGCCGCGUGAGUGAAGAAGUAUCUCGGUAUGUAAAGCUCUAUCAGCGGGGAAGAAGGAAGACGGUACCCGACUAAGAAGCCCCGGCUAACUACGUGCCAGCAGCCGCGGUAAUACGUAGGGGGCAAGCGUUAUCCGGAUUUACUGGGUGUAAAGGGGGCGCAGACGGCGAUGCAAGCCAGGAGUGAAAGCCCGGGGCCCAACCCCGGGACUGCUCUUGGAACUGCGUGGCUGGAGUGCAGGAGGGGCAGGCGGAAUUCCUGGUGUAGCGGUGAAAUGCGUAGAUAUCAGGAGGAACACCGGUGGCGAAGGCGGCCUGCUGGACUGCAACUGACGUUGAGGCCCGAAAGCGUGGGGAGCAAACAGGAUUAGAUACCCCUGUA